CAUAGUGGCGCACGGGUGCGUAACACGUAUGCAACCUACCUUACAUUGGGGGAUAGCCUUUCGAAAGGGAGAUUAAUACCGCAUAAGACAGUAACUGGGCAUCCAGUAGCUGUUAAAGAUUUAUCGAUGUAAGAUGGGCAUGCGUCCAAUUAGUUAGUUGGCGAGGUAAUGGCUCACCAAGACUUUGAUUGGUAGGGGAACUGAGAGGUCAAUCCCCCACACUGGCACUGAGAUACGGGCCAGACUCCUACGGGAGGCAGCAGUAGGGAAUAUUGGGCAAUGGACGCAAGUCUGACCCAGCCAUGCCGCGUGCAGGACGAAGGCGUUAUGCGUUGUAAACUGCUUUUAUACAGGAAGAAACGACUCUUGCGAGAGGCAUUGACGGUACUGUAUGAAUAAGCACCGGCUAACUCCGUGCCAGCAGCCGCGGUAAUACGGAGGGUGCAAGCGUUGUCCGGAUUUAUUGGGUUUAAAGGGUGCGCAGGUGGUUUAUUAAGUCAGUGGUGAAAGACGGUCGCUCAACGAUUGCAGUGCCAUUGAAACUGGUAGACUUGAGUAAAGUAGAGGUGGGCGGAAUUGAUAGUGUAGCGGUGAAAUGCAUAGAUAUUAUCAAGAACUCCAAUUGCGAAGGCAGCUCACUUGGCUUUUACUGACACUCAUGCACGAAAGUGUGGGUAUCAAACAGGAUUAGAUACCCUGG
rnacentral:rRNA from 1 species